rnacentral:rRNA from 1 species
AUUGAACGCUGGCGGCAUGCCUUACACAUGCAAGUCGAACGGCAGCACGGGUGCUUGCACCUGGUGGCGAGUGGCGAACGGGUGAGUAAUACAUCGGAACGUACCUUAUCGUGGGGGAUAACGCAGCGAAAGCUGUGCUAAUACCGCAUACGCCCUGAGGGGGAAAGCGGGGGAUCGAAAGACCUCGCGCGAUUAGAGCGGCCGAUGCCUGUUUAGCUUGUUGGUGGGGUAAAAGCCCACCAAGGCGACGAUCAGUAGCUGGUCUGAGAGGACGAUCAGCCACACUGGGGCUGAGACACGGCCCAGACUCCUACGGGAGGCAGCAGUGGGGAAUUUUGGACAAUGGGGGCAACCCUGAUCCAGCAAUGCCGCGUGAGUGAAGAAGGCCUUCGGGUUGUAAAGCUCUUUUGUCAGGGAAGAAACACCGGCUCUAACACAGUCCGGGAAUGACGGUACCUGAAGAAUAAGCACCGGCUAACUACGUGCCAGCAGCCGCCGUAA